rnacentral:antisense_RNA from 1 species
CUUGAGCGACCCGAGCCACAGCGGCCGGUCGCGGUCCUGCCCGUAGGUGGCGAUGAUCGCCUGGGCCUC